rnacentral:rRNA from 1 species
UACGGAGAGUGCAAGCAUUAAUCGGAAUUAUUGGGCGUAAAGGGCGCGUAGGCGGAACGGUAAGUCAGAUGUGAAAUUCCGAAGCUCAACUUCGGAGCUGCAUUUGAAACUGCCGACCUAGAGGAUUAACGGAGAAAACGGAAUUCCACGUGUAGCGGUGAAAUGCGUAGAUAUGUGGAAGAACACCGGUGGCGAAAGCGGUUUUCUAGUUUAUACCUGACGCUGAGGCGCGAGAGCAAGGGGAGCAAACAGG